GACGGAGGGCGCGAGCGUUGUUCGGAAUCACUGGGCGUAAAGCGCGCGCAGGCGGGCGGGUGAGUCGGACGUGAAAGCCCGGGGCUCAACCCCGGACCCGCGUCCGAUACUAUCCGUCUGGGGACCGGUAGAGGCCGGUGGAAUUCCCGGUGUAGCGGUGGAAUGCGUAGAGAUCGGGAAGAACACCAGUGGCGAAGGCGGCCGGCUGGGCCGGAGGCUCUUCGGAGCCGAUCCGACGCUGAGGCGCGAAAGCG
rnacentral:misc_RNA from 1 species